CCUACGGGAGGCAGCAGUAGGGAAUAUUGCUCAAUGGGGGAAACCCUGAAGCAGCAACGCCGCGUGGAGGAUGAAUGUUUUCGGAUUGUAAACUCCUUUUGUUAGAGAAGAUAAUUACGGUAUCUAAAGACUAAGCACCGGCUAACUCCGUGACAGCUGCCGCGGUAAUACGGAGGGUGCAAGCGUUACUCGGAAUUACUGAGCGUAAAGAGCGCGUAGGCGGGCUAGCAAGUCAGCUGUGAAAUCCUAUGGCUUAACCAUAGAACUGCAGUUGAAACUGUUAGUCUAGAGUAUGGGAGAGGUAGGUGGAAUUCUGGGUGUAGGGGUAAAAUCCGUAGAGAUCAAGAGGAAUACUGAUUGCGAAGGCGACCUGCUAGAACAUAACUGACGCUGAUGCGCGAAAGCGUGGGGAGCAAACAGGAUUAGAUACCCUUGUAGUC
rnacentral:rRNA from 1 species